UGUUUAUUUGGAGCCCUAUAUAUAUGAGUGGUUUUCAGUGUUCUGGAGAGUUCAGCACUUUAAGAGGAUCUGAUCUAAUACGCUGCCUGCCGUUUCAGUAGUUAGUGCUGAAAGGCAGUCAUGCGUUUCUUUGCGUCCGCUGUCGUUUUCUCCAUAGUGUUGCAGUCAAUGUCUGCACAGCUAGAAGACUGGCAGUCGGCCAAAUCCAUUUAUGAAUUCACUGCCACGGAUAUAGACGGCAAUGAAGUUUCCCUGGAAAAAUACAGGGGCAAAGUUGUCAUCAUCACUAAUGUUGCCUCAAAGUGAGGCAAAACCCCGGUAAACUACUCUCAGUUUGCAGAAAUGCACGCCAAGUAUUCUGAGAGAGGUUUACACAUCCUGGCCUUCCCAUCCAACCAGUUUGGAAAUCAGGAACCAGGAACAAAUUCCCAAAUCAAGGAAUUUGCCAAGUCCUACAAUGCGGAGUUUGAAAUGUUCAGUAAGAUUGAUGUGAAUGGCGACUCUGCACAUCCUCUGUGGAAGUGGCUGAAGGAACAACCAAAUGGAAGAGGAUUCUUUGGAAAUGGCAUCAAAUGGAAUUUCACCAAGUUCCUCAUUGACCGUGAAGGCCAGGUUGUGAUGAGAUACUCCCCGCUGCAGGAUCCAAGCGUGGUGGAGAAAGAUCUGUCCAAAUAUCUCUAGGGAACAUCAUCAGCUGACUGUGCAUUACCGCUUGCUGCCCAGCCGCUCCUCUUCAUUCUCCUCGACUGAUAGCUGGGUAUCAGUGAUGUCGUCUCAUGGACUUAUGAUGGUUUGUUUCAAAAACCCCUCUUGAGGAAAGAACAGACCUGAUGCAUUUGGCGUGCAAUCCCUCCUAAGAGCCUCAUCAGUGCCCAGCAUCACUCUGGAGAGAGACCCUCGCUCCUUCAACUGCCCCUAUAUGCUUUGAAAUAAAAUGAUGCACAUUUAUUUAGAACUAAACAUGGUAUCAUCACGUAACAUUUCUUAAUAAAUGCAAAGAGAUUCAUUUUAA